rnacentral:rRNA from 1 species
UACGGAGGGAGCUAGCGUUGUUCGGAAUUACUGGGCGUAAAGCGCGCGUAGGCGGUUACUCAAGUCAGAGGUGAAAGCCCGGGGCUCAACCCCGGAACUGCCUUUGAAACUAGGUAACUAGAAUCUUGGAGAGGUCAGUGGAAUUCCGAGUGUAGAGGUGAAAUUCGUAGAUAUUCGGAAGAACACCAGUGGCGAAGGCGACUGACUGGACAAGUAUUGACGCUGAGAUGCGAAAGCGUGGGGAGCAAACAGG